GACGAACGCUGGCGGCGUGCCUAAUACAUGCAAGUUGAGCGCUGAAGGUUGGUACUUGUACCAACUGGAUGAGCAGCGAACGGGUGAGUAACGCGUGGGGAAUCUGCCUUUGAGCGGGGGACAACAUUUGGAAACGAAUGCUAAUACCGCAUAAAAACUUUAAACACAAGUUUUAAGUUUGAAAUAUGCAAUUGCAUCACUCAAAGAUGAUCCCGCGUUGUAUUAGCUAGUUGGUGAGGUAAAGGCUCACCAAGGCGAGGAUACAUAGCCGACCUGAGAGGGGGAGCGGCCACAUUGGGACUGAGACACGGCCCAAAGUCCUACGGGAGGCAGCAGUAGGGAAUCUUCGGCAAUGGACGAAAGUCUGACCGAGCAACGCCGCGUGAGUGAAGAAGGUUUUCGGAUCGUAAAACUCUGUUGGUAGAGAAGAACGUUGGUGAGAGUGGAAAGCUCAUCAAGUGACGGUAACUACCCAGAAAGGGACGGCUAACUACGUG
rnacentral:rRNA from 1 species